rnacentral:rRNA from 1 species
CGCGUAGGUGGUAGUGCAAGUCUGGGGUGGAAUCUUAGGGCUUAACCCUAAACUAGCCUUGGAAACUAGCAUUACUUGAGUCAGUGAGGGGAGGGUAGAAUUCCUGGUGUAGCGGUGAAAUGCGUAGAUAUCAGGAGGAAGGCCUGUGGCGAAGGCGGCCCUCUGGCGCUGAACUGACACUGAGGCGCGAAAGCGUGGGUAGCAAACAGGAUUAGAUACCCUGGUAGUCCACGCCCUAAACGGUGGGUACUAGGUGUAGGGCUCGUAAGGGUUCUGUGCCGAAGGGAAACCAUUAAGUACCCCGCCUGGGGAGUACGGCCGCAAGGUUGAA